GACGUAGGGGGCCAGCGUUGCUCGGAAUUACUGGGUGUAAAGGGUUCGUAGGCGGUGUGGCAAGUCGGGUGUGAAAUCUCUGGGCUCAACCCAGAGUCUGCUUCCGAAACUGCUGUGCUUGAGUGUGGGAGAGGCGCGUGGAAUUGCAGGUGUAGCGGUGAAAUGCGUAGAUAUCUGCAGGAACGCCCGUGGCGAAAGCGGCGCGCUGGACCACUACUGACGCUGAGGAACGAAAGCUAGGGGAGCAAACAGG
rnacentral:rRNA from 1 species